rnacentral:rRNA from 1 species
CCUACGGGGGGCAGCAGUGAGGAAUAUUGGUCAAUGGUCGUAAGACUGAACCAGCCAAGUAGCGUGAGGGAGGAAGGUACAGUGUAUCGUAAACCUCUUUUGUCAGGGAACAAAGACUGGGACGCGUCCCUGGAUGAGUGUAUCUGACGAAAAAGCAUCGGCUAACUCCGUGCCAGCAGCCGCGGUAAUACGGAGGAUGCGAGCGUUAUCCGGAUUUAUUGGGUUUAAAGGGUGCGUAGGCGGUCUGUUAAGUUAGAGGUGAAAUCCCGAGGCUCAACUUCGGGCUGGCCUUUGACACGGGCAGGCUCGAGAUGAGGAGAGGUAGGCGGAAUGCGCGGUGUAGCGGUGAAAUGCAUAGAGAU